AAAGACCUUAUGCUUUUGGAGCGGCUGAUGUCUGAUUAGCUAGUUGGUGAGGUAAAUGCUUACCAAGGCGACGAUCAGUAGUUGGUCUGAGAGGACGACCAGCCACACUGGGACUGAGACACGGCCCAGACUCCUACGGGAGGCAGCAGUGGGGAAUUUUGGACAAUGGGCGCAAGCCUGAUCCAGCAAUGCCGCGUGAGUGAAGAAGGCCUUCGGGUUGUAAAGCUCUUUCAGCCGGAACGAAACGGUCACGGUUAAUACCCGUGACUACUGACGGUACCGGAAGAAGAAGCACCGGCUAACUACGUGCCAACAGCCGCGGUAAUACGUAGGGUGCGAGCGUUAAUCGGAAUUACUGGGCGUAAAGCGUGCGUAGACGGUUAUGUAAGUCAGAUGUGAAAGCCCCGGGCUCAACCCGGGAAUU
rnacentral:rRNA from 1 species